UGAGGAAUAUUGGUCAAUGGACGGAAGUCUGAACCAGCCAAGUAGCGUGCAGGAAGACGGCCCUAUGGGUUGUAAACUGCUUUUGUAUGGGGAUAAAGUCAAUCACGUGUGAUUGUUUGCAGGUACCAUACGAAUAAGGACCGGCUAAUUCCGUGCCAGCAGCCGCGGUAAUACGGAAGGUUCGGGCGUUAUCCGGAUUUAUUGGGUUUAAAGGGGGCGUAGGCCGGAGAUUAAGUGUGUUGUGAAAUGUAGACGCUCAACGUCUGACUUGCAGCGCAUACUGGUUUCCUUGAGUACGCACAACGUUGGCGGAAUUCGUCGUGUAGCGGUGAAAUGCUUAGAUAUGACGAAGAACUCCGAUUGCGAAGGCAGCUAACGGGAGCGCAACUGACGCUGAAGCUCGAAGGUGCGGGUAUCGAACAGGAUUAGAUACCCUGGUAGUCCGCACAGUAAACGAUGGAUGCCCGCUGUUGGUACCUAGUAUCAGCGGCUAAGCGAAAGCAUUAAGCAUCCCACCUGGGGAGUACGCCGGCNNACGGUG
rnacentral:rRNA from 1 species